CUAUCACAACCUGGGAGAACUGCAGCAGAGAGACCAGCAGAAGCGUAUUUGCAUAACAAUUCAAAUCAGUAUCAAUCACCUCCCAGAGUCGGCUGUCAGCUGCUCCUAAACAUGUCCCCAUCGUGACAGAUUAGCUCUCGGCAAAGGAGGGCUCAGUCUGCAAUCAGGGGCUGCCAGGGUUGGCUUUGGGACAGCGCAUCCUUCACAGGGCGGCUCAGAGACUGAGCUUGCAAAAACCAAAGCUGAUCCAGCUGAAGCCAUCCCUGGUGUGUCCAGAUGGAGCAGAGCAGUGCGAGCCCUAGAAGAUGCCCCUGAGGAACCUGGCCUGCCCUCACGCAGCUCUAUUCCCACUGUUCCGAGCAACUGCAGGAAUGGUUUCAGGAGCAGCCAUAGCUCUGCCUUCUGCCACAUAAAUCCUCGGCAGGAGUUCACCGGGCCGAACCUUAAAGAUGAUGACUCACUUUACAGAGAUCUCUCCCAUUUUUCAUCUCCUGGCGUCUGAGCGCAUUGGUGCUGCUCUCCUGCCAGGAUGUGAAGAGCCGUGAAAAAUCUGAUCUCUCUGACGCUGAUGUUAAACUAUGGCAAAU
ensembl:lncRNA